CCUUCCUCCAUGUGUCCCGUCUCACUCAGGAGGAACCUUCCAGUGACUUCCAGAAGGAGAGAAACCCCGGAAAGCUCAGGCCCCAGGCAGGUUUUCAUACCGGUGAAGACAAAGUGUCUCUGCUGUGAGGGGUGAAAUGUGGGACCCAGGAGGACAGGGAAAUGGAUCUGCUAACCAACACUUGGAGUUACGGACGACCCUGCUGAGACCCCACCUGGAAAGCUGUGCUCAUCUCUGAGCCUCUAAUGACCAGCCAGGUAGGAAAACUGAGGCACAAAAUUACAACCUGAGAAAACUUUACAUUGCAGGAGCUCCGUGUAAACCCAGAGCUCCUGAAUUUUCAGACCAUUCUUGGGGCCCUUGAGUACCUCCUGCCAGAGUCCAGUUUUACAUCUAUAAAUUCCUUGCCUCCUAUAUUGCAUAAACUUUCAGAAAGUUGUCAAGGGAUUGCAAAGAAGCUCUUCACGUAGAAUUGGAGAAGUAUAGAAAGCAAUGGUCUUAUUCUAGGGAAAUCUGUAAACCCAGGCCAACUUCCCUCUACUGCUAAUUACAGGUUCCUGAAAUCUCUGGUACAGGUUAUUUGUACACUAUGUAAUUCAACUGGUUGUGCGCUUUGCUACUGCAAGUAGCUGAGAGAGCCGAAGAGGUGCUUUGCUGCUUUCCAUCUGGUUAGGAUUCUUAAUG